rnacentral:rRNA from 1 species
AGAGUUUGAUCCUGGCUCAGAUUGAACUCUGGCGGCAGGCCUAACACAUGCAAGUCGAACGGUAACAGGAAACAGCUUGCUGUUUCGCUGACGAGUGGCGGACGGGUGAGUAAUGUCUGGGAAACUGCCUGAUGGAGGGGGAUAACUACUGGAAACGGUAGCUAAUACCGCAUAACGUCGCAAGACCAAAGAGGGGGACCUUCGGGCCUCUUGCCAUCGGAUGUGCCCAGAUGGGAUUAGCUUGUUGGUGGGGUAACGGCUCACCAAGGCGACGAUCCCUAGCUGGUCUGAGAGGAUGACCAGCCACACUGGAACUGAGACACGGUCCAGACUCCUACGGGAGGCAGCAGUGGGGAAUAUUGCACAAUGGGCGCAAGCCUGAUGCAGCCAUGCCGCGUGUAUGAAGAAGGCCUUCGGGUUGUAAAGUACUUUCAGCGGGGAGGAAGGGAGUAAAGUUAAUACCUUUGCUCAUUGACGUUACCCGCAGAAGAAGCACCGGCUAACUCCGUGCCAGCAGCCGCGGUAAUACGGAGGGUGCAAGCGUUAAUCGGAAUUACUGGGCGUAAAGCGCACGCAGGCGGUUUGUUAAGUCAGAUGUGAAAUCCCCGGGCUCAACCUGGGAACUGCAUCUGAUACUGGCAAGCUUGAGUCUCGUAGAGGGGGGUAGAAUUCCAGGUGUAGCGGCGAAAUGCGUAGAGAUCUGGAGGAAUACCGGUGGCGAAGGCGGCCCCCUGGACGAAGACUGACGCUCAGGUGCGAAAGCGUGGGGAGCAAACAGGAUUAGAUACCCUGGUAGUCCACGCCGUAAACGAUGUCGACUUGGAGGUUGUGCCCUUGAGGCGUGGCUUCCGGAGCUAACGCGUUAAGUCGACCGCCUGGGGAGUACGGCCGCAAGGUUAAAACUCAAAUGAAUUGACGGGGGCCCGCACAAGCGGUGGAGCAUGUGGUUUAAUUCGAUGCAACGCGAAGAACCUUACCUGGUCUUGACAUCCACGGAAGUUUUCAGAGAUGAGAAUGUGCCUUCGGGAACCGUGAGACAGGUGCUGCAUGGCUGUCGUCAGCUCGUGUUGUGAAAUGUUGGGUUAAGUCCCGCAACGAGCGCAACCCUUAUCCUUUGUUGCCAGCGGUCCGGCCGGGAACUCAAAGGAGACUGCCAGUGAUAAACUGGAGGAAGGUGGGGAUGACGUCAAGUCAUCAUGGCCCUUACGACCAGGGCUACACACGUGCUACAAUGGCGCAUACAAAGAGAAGCGACCUCGCGAGAGCAAGCGGACCUCAUAAAGUGCGUCGUAGUCCGGAUUGGAGUCUGCAACUCGACUCCAUGAAGUCGGAAUCGCUAGUAAUCGUGGACCAGAAUGCCACGGUGAAUACGUUCCCGGGCCUUGCACACAACGCCCGUCA